CACAAAGCGUACAGUACAGAAGAUCACAGGAUUCCUGCGAUUUUUCGUGUUUUGUAUCGCCGAUCGUCCGAAUUGGGAAUCGUCUUUGGCUCUGUGGAGAGCGAUUAUCUCGACGAACUGAUAUCUGCGAUUACUGCGACUAUACAGCGUUGAAAUUCGACGCAUUUUCAUCGUACAGGUGGAAGGAUGAGUACGCCUGGCGAAGGUGGUGGCGGUGGCCAGAACGAGGUAAACCCCGCCCUCCAAGCUGAUCAACCCAGUAUUCUUACGGAUGGUAAUGCCAGUUUCCUGCGAGCUGCACGAGCUGGUAAUUUGGAUAAAGUCUUGGAAUAUUUGAAGGGGAGUACUGAUAUUAACACCAGCAAUGCUAAUGGAUUGAAUGCUCUUCACCUUAGCUCUAAAGAAGGCCACCUUAAUAUUGUAAGAGAAUUGCUGAAGAGAGGUGCCAAUGUGGACGCAGCUACUAAGAAGGGAAACACAGCACUCCAUAUUGCAUCUUUGGCAGGACAGAAAGACAUUGUAAAAGUACUAGUAGAACAUGAAGCUAAUGUUAACGUACAAUCACAGACUGGUUUUACACCACUCUACAUGGCAGCACAAGAAAACCAUGAAUCCGUGGUUCGAUUUUUGCUAGUGAAUGGAGCAAAUCAAAGCCUUGCCACCGAGGAUGGGUUUACUCCAUUGGCGGUUGCUUUGCAACAAGGACACGACAAAGUGGUGGCACUAUUAUUAGAAAACGACCGUGCCGGCAAAGUAAGACUUCCGGCUUUGCACAUAGCGGCAAGAAAAGAUGACACUAAGGCGGCUGCCUUAUUACUUCAAAAUGACCACAAUCCUGAUGUCACUUCUAAGAGUGGCUUCACACCAUUGCAUAUUGCAGCACACUAUGGACAUACCAAUGUAGCUACGCUGCUAUUACAAAGAGGAGCUGCUGUUGAUUUUUCAGCUCGGAAUGGAAUUACCCCAUUGCACGUUUCUUGUAAGUGGGGUCGUGUCAAUAUGGUAACAUUAUUACUGGAUAGAGGAGCCAAAAUCGACAGCAGAACAAGGAAUCCAUUGGAACUGGUGACAAAAGAUGGACUGACACCUCUUCACUGCGCUGCAAGGAGUGGUCAUGACCAGUGUGUUGAUUUGCUACUGGAGAGAGGAGCACCUAUUUUGGCCAAAACUAAGAAUGGUCUUGCACCUUUACACAUGGCAGCACAAGGAGACCAUGUAGAUAGUGCACGUUUAUUACUCUAUCACAAAGCACCUGUUGAUGAUGUCACCGUGGAUUACCUGACUUCAUUGCAUGUAGCUGCUCACUGUGGUCAUCAUAAAGUAGCUAAAUUGCUGUUGGAUCGUAAGGCUAACCCUGAUUCCCGUGCUCUCAAUGGUUUCACCCCACUUCAUGUUGCCUGCAAAAAGAAUCGCAUCAAAGUCAUAGAACUAUUAUUAAAGUAUGGUGCAUCAAUCCACACUGUUACCGAGUCUGGUUUAACACCAUUACACGUAGCUGCAUUUAUGGGUCAUGUACAGAUUGUAUUAUUGCUGUUACAACAUGGAGCAUCACCUGACACAGCUAAUGUGCGUGGUGAAACAGCCUUACAUCUUGCCGCAAGAGCCAAUCAAAUUGAUAUCAUUCGUAUCUUAUUACGCAAUGGUGCCCAGGUAGAUGCAAGAGCACGCGAGAACCAGACUCCACUGCAUAUUGCUUCCCGUCUGGGUAACGUGGAAAUUGUCUUAUUACUGUUGCAACACGGCGCAUCACCUGAUGCACAAACAAAGGAUAUGUACACAGCCCUGCAUAUUGCGGCCAAAGAAGGACAAGAAGAUGUAGCAUCUGUCCUACUAGAACACGGUGCAUCGCUAUCCACAACUACCAAGAAGGGGUUCACUCCUCUGCAUGUGGCGGCGAAGUAUGGAAGUCUAGAAGUCGCAGCUUUGCUCCUCAAGAAAGUUUGCCUCUCCUGAUGCAGCUGGAAGGAAUGGUUUGACACCAUUGCACGUUGCUGCCCAUUAUGACAAUGUCAAUGUUGCUAUGCUGUUAUUAAAACAAGGUGCUUCACCACACGCUGCAGCCAAGAAUGGAUUUACUCCACUACACAUCGCUGCCAAGAAGAACCAGAUGGAGAUUGCCACCACAUUACUGGAAUUUGGAGCCGAAGCAAAUGCAACGACUAAACAUGGAAUUAGUCCAGUCCACUUAGCGGCCCAGGAAGGACACACAGACAUGCUAACAUUGUUACUGGCCCGUGGUGCUAAGCCAGACAUUCCUGCUAAGAAUGGUUUAACUCCAUUGCAUCUUGCGGCUCAAGAAGAUAGAGUUAACUGUGCAGCCAUAUUGUUGAAAACGAUGCUGUCAUCGAUGCACAGACUAAAGCUGGAUAUACUCCUUUACAUGUUGCUUGUCACUAUGGCAACAUUAAGGUGGCAACCUAUUUAUUGCAGCAAGAAGCAAAGGUUAAUGAAAAGACUAAGGCUGGCCUGACUCCACUCCAUCAAGCUGCCCAGCAAGGUCAUGUUGCCCUGAUUAAUCUGUUACUACAGUACGGUGCUGACCCCAAUGAAGUCGCCAAUAACGGAUACACAGCAUUGGCCAUGGCUAAGCGUCUUGGCUACAUCUCUGUUGUAAAUACUCUGAUAACCGUGACAACAGUUACUACGGUAACUACACAGACUGAUAAAGAAGAAAAACUCAAAGUCUUGGUUCCAGAAACCAUGCAAGAAACAUUCAUAUCAGACUCUGAAGAUGAAGGUGAAGAUACUAUGACUGGUGACAUGCCUACCUUAACAGUGGACGAAAUGAAAAACAUGGCUGAUGACUCCAUGCCUGUUUUACAGUCAAUGACCAUAGAGGAAGUAUGGAUGAAAAGUGAUCAGAGUCGUCUUACCAACUAUGCUUACCCACCGUAUGCAGGAGGUGAAUCACCAAGUUCUUCAGCAAGAGGUUCCAUGCCAGGUUAUUACAGAUCUGCUGCAUACACCUCGUACUCCUCCAAGACUGGAAGUGUAGAACCAGAAGUUUUGAAAGCUGAUAGGGCUGUGCAGCAGUCGGCUGCACCUGGCAUGGCUGAGACUGAUAUGGUAACAAAGACGACUGAAGUUACCAUCAUAACGACCUGGAGGACCGUCAUCCGUAAUAAAGAUGGUGAAAUAAUGAGGAAACCUGAUGGGAAUGUCGCACAUGUUGGUGAUCCGUUCCAGGAUGAAGAUGGGAAAGAAGUUGCCGGUAAGGUGUAUGGACCAGAUGGUAAACCAAUGGAAUACACCAUAUAUCUGCAAAUGAUUAAAGUUCAUCGCAUUAUGAUCCGAGAUAAUGAUGGCCAUCCAAAGAAGACUCCAGAUGGGCGACCGAUGUAUGCUGGUGAUCCAGUUGUUGAUGAAGAAGGACGUGUAAUUGAAGGGAUGGUUUAUGGUCUUGAAGGCGAGUCUGUCACAUAUGAAGAUUACUUAUCCACAGCUGCUGAAACUAGGGAACCAGUACUUGGAGAUGAUGGUGAGGAAUUGAAAACCGCUGAUGGUCGUCCAAUUCGACCUGGAGAUCCAGUUAUUGAUGAGGACGGUAAAGUGGUCAAGGAUUUGGUCUAUGGUCUGGAUGGCAAACCAGUACAGUACACUAUGUUUUAUACAACAGUCAUCGUCACACGUCAGAUCAUAAGAGGUCCUGAUGGUCUGCCAAUGUAUACAGCCGAUGGAAGACCGAUUGUUGCUGGUGAUCCGGUUGUUGACGAAGAUGGUGUGGUACGACAAGAUAUGGUCUAUAACUUAGAAGGUAAACCUGUACCUGUAUACGAAUACUAUAUAACUACAAUUACAAGGUCGGUAAUCAAAGGUCCCGAUGGAGAACCACUGAAAACCGCUGAUGGUCGUAACGUACAUCCAGGUGAUCCUGUCGUUGAUGAAGACGGCAAGCUGGUGAAAGGUAUGGUGUACAAUCGUGACGGCAAACCAGUCAAAUAUACUGAAUACUUUAUUACUAUUACUGUUACAAGAAAAAUAAUUCUCGGACCCGAUGGUAAGCCGCUGAAAACCGCAGACGGAAGACCAAUGUAUCCUGGUGAUCCAGUUGUUGAAAAAGAUGGUACUGUUGUACAAGGAAUGGUGUAUGGGGAGGACGGAAAGCCACUUCCUUAUGAAGAGUUCUACUCCACUAAUGCCAAUGCAAUAUUAAGAACCCCUGUGAUUGGCCAAGACGGGGAGCCAAUGAUCACUAAAGAUGGUAGAGUUAUGUACGCUGGUGAUCCAGUCGUGGAUGAUAACGGUAAAGUUUUGCAUGGACUUGUGUAUGGCUAUGACGGUAGACCAGUUCCUUAUAGCGAGUUCUACACGCACUCUACUCGAACUACAACAACUACAACGACUACCACAAGUACAGUAACAAGAGUAUCCGUGAAAGAUAAAGACGGUUAUCCGAUGAAAACUCCAAAAGGUCAAUUUAUUUAUGCCGGUGACCCCUACAUGGAUGAAGAUGGGACUUAUAUUCCUGGGAUGGUCUACGGCCACUACGGCCAACCGGUGACGUACAGCACCUUUUACUCUGAAACCACAACCACCAAAAUCUCUGUCGAACCUGUAAUCGGGCCCGAUGGAAAACCAAUGAGACGACCUGAUGGUAAAAUCAUCUAUGUCGGUGAUGCUGUUGUUAAUGAAAAGGGUCAGGUAAUACCAGGAAUGAUUUACGGACCAGACGGUAAACCAGUUCCGUUUGUACAAGAUAAUGUUGCACCCAUAUCCAUUCCAGUACAUGCUGGAUUCCUUAUCAGUUUUAUGGUAGAUGCUCGUGGUGGAGCCAUGCGUGGUUGCCGUCUUCCUGGGCUUCGUAUUAUCGUUCCACCAGGGAAGGCGACCGGGCCAACUCGCAUCACCUGCCGCAUGAUAAAGAGAAUGAAACUAGUUAACCCACCCCCAUUGAUGGAAGGUGAAGCCCUCGCCAGUCGUGUACUGGAAGUUGGACCUUCUGGUGCUCAAUUCCUCGGUCCUGUGAUUAUCGAGAUACCACAUUUUGGUUCGCUGCGUGAAAAAGAGAGAGAAAUUGUUGUAUUACGUAGUGACAACGGCGAAUCAUGGAAAGAACACACAUUGGAAUCUUCAGAUGAGUUAGUACAUGAAACGCUUAAUGGUACACUUGACGGAGAAGAAAUUGAAUCAUUGGAAGAUUUAGUUGAAAAACGAAUUUGUAGAAUAGUUACCCGAGAUUUCCCACAAUACUUUGCUAUUAUCUCACGAGUACGUCAAGAAACGAAUACAAUUGGACCAUCAGGGGGAAUGUUAAGUUCAACAGUUGUUCCACAAGUACAAGCAGUGUUCCCUGAAGGUACUCUAACUAAGAAAAUCAAAGUUGGUCUCCAGGCCCAACCAAUUCCAGUAGACAUCAUCAAGAAAGUCCUUGGUAACCGUGUAAUGGUGAGUCCCAUAGUGACAAUAGAACCCAGGAGAAGGAAAUUCCAUAAAGCUAUUACAGUAACAAUUCCUGUUCCAUCAGCAACGACGCAAGGUGUUAUGAAUGGUUAUGGUGGUGAUACGCCAACUCUUAGACUUUUGUGCAGUAUUACAGGUGGCACUCAACCCGCACAAUGGGAAGACAUUACUGGCACAACACCUCUUACUUUUGUCAAUGAGUGUGUGUCAUUUACCACCACAGUAUCUGCAAGGUUUUGGCUCAUGGAUUGUCGAGAGAUAAAUCAAGCCAGUAACUUUGCUAGAGAGCUAUAUCAUGAAGUGACAGCGGUGCCGUUCAUGGCAAAAUUUGUCGUGUUCGGAAAGACACAUGACCCGAUUGAAGCCCGAAUUCGAGUGUUCUGUAUGACUGAUGAUAAGAUGGAUAAAACAUUAGAAAGUCAAGAACAUUUCACUGAAAUAGCUCGUAGUAGGGAUGUGGAGGUUUUAGAUGGCCGACCACAAUACCUAGAACUUGCUGGUAAUUUAGUGCCAGUACAAAAAUCUGGAGAACAGCUUCAUCUCAAUUUCCACGCCUUCCAUGAAAACCGCCUGCCAUUCUUCACCCGUGUGCGCGACCAGGGACAGGAGCCUUGUGGUAGACUAUCGUUUAUGCGGGAGCCAAAAGUUGGCCGUGGAUUACCUCCGCAGAAAGCCAUCUGCAAUUUGAAUAUAACUAUUCCUGAGUAUGUUAAGGUCAAAAAAGAAGAUGACACAACAAGUAGUGAGGAUGAGGAGACUAUGGAAAAGGGAGAGCGGGAAAUUUUUGAACAGGAAACCAGAAAACCUUUAACGCCGUCUGAAAUGUACAUUCUUACUCCUGUUGAGGAGGACUUUAAUCUUGAGAAGGAAUUUGAAAAAUUUGCUGACGAGGAAAAGAAUCAAGAAAUAAGGAAAAUGGGACUGAGGGUUGUAGAUAAGGGAGAUUCAACUCAUAAACUCAACUUUGCUUCCAUUAGACUUCGACAAAAAUACACUUUCCUCCAAGACCCUGCUCUAAGUCCAACUAGUGCACAUGAACGAGCUGAAAUCCGUUUAUGGCAUCUUGCAGCAAAACUUGGCAAAGACUGGCCAAAAUUAGGUCGCGAACUUGGCCUAAAUAACAGGGAGAUUGAAAUCAUAAAAAGUGAAAAUGAGGAAAAUGUGGUAGAGCAAGCAUUCGUUGCUUUACAUGUCUGGGCAGAAAGAGCAGGGAAAGAAGCAUCAGGUGAAAGACUUGAAGAUGCACUUGAAAAAUCUGGUAAACACCAACUUGCAAGAGAAAUCCUUCAUACAUCGUACACCAUUGAUAUGGAAGAUGAACAUUCCAUCGACUAUUAUAGAGACUUAGAAAAAUCAAUGGCAAAAUCACGAAUGGAUGAAUCAGCUUUUGAUGAUAUAAUGGAAUUAAAAUCACCAGCUAAGCCACCAAGGGCAAGUCAAGACCAUGAAGACUUACUGGAAGGGGAGCCAACCAUGAAUUUGAUGGAACAUCUGGAUACAAGUGAAAUUGAAGACCAAUCGGAUAUCAUGGAACGCGUCUCAAUUGCCAAAGAGGAACAUGUUGAUCUGAAAGAAGAACGUGUUGAAGAAAGCCAUGUAGAGAUUCAUAAAGAAGUCAUGACAAAAGAAGUAAUUCAGGUUGUUGAAACAGAAAUAAUAACACAAGAAGAAAUAAUAGAAAGCCAACAAAAGGAGGAAACUUUUCCUAUUGAAGAUGAACCAGAGGAAUCCCCUGAAUCACCGGAGGCUGGUGAAGCAGCACCUAUUGAGGAACCUGAACCUGAGCCGGAAGAGGAAGAGCAACAACUGACUGAAUCCUGGGAAGUUGUUGAAGAUGCUGAGGAACCACGUGAUGAAGCCCUUGGUGCAAUGGCUGCUCCUGACGAGGAUGAAGAACAAGAGGAAGAAGAUGAGGAGGAAUGGGAAAUAGUUGAUGCUGAAGCUGCCGAGGAGUUUAAUGAAGAAAUUAUGGAAAAGAUGGAAGAGGAGACACCAGAAAAGGAAAAAGUUGUUAGUUUUGAAAGUCAGUAUCUUCAUGAAAAAACACAGCAUCAGGAAAUUGUUAUAACUGAAACUUUCCAUCAGGAUUACAAAGAUGAGAAAGACAUAUCAGAGCCUGACAUUACAGUGUCUGAGGAGGCAACCCCAGAAAAAGAAGAGGCGUCAGAAGAUUUCCUGGGACCUUCUGAGGUUCCUGUUGAGAUAGCAGUGAGCAAAGAAAGUCCAACUACACCAGAGGCGUAUUCUCAGGGCAUAGCAGAGAUAGCAAUUGGUCCAGUCCCCACUUCCAGGGAGCCUGAUGAAUAUUGUCCCGAGGGUCUGUUGGAUGAAUUGGUAAAGGAGUUGGACAUUGAUAUGUCAGUUAAGCAGGAUCAACCAUUUGAAUCAGAGGAACCGGUGAUAGAGUCAGAUGCACUGGUGAUAGAGUCAGUGCCUCAAGAAGCAUCACCAGAACCUGUAGAGGACAAGAUAGAUGUACCAGUUGAUGAAGAGCUGCUAAUUGAACAGGAGCAACCAUUAGCUGCAGAGGCUCCGGUGACAGAGUCAGAGGCUCCGGUGACAGAGUCAGAGGCUCCGGUGACAGAGUCAGAGGCUCCGGUGACAGAGUCAGAGGCUCCGGUGACAGAGUCAGAGGCUCCGGUGACAGAGUCAGAGGCUCCGGUGACAGAGUCAGAGGCCAAAGAAGUAUCACCAGAACCUGUAGAGGACAAGAUAGAUGAUGUACCAGUUGAUGAAGAGCUGCAAAUUGAGCAGGAACAGCCAUUAGUUGCAGAAGAACCGGUGAUAGAGUCAGAGGCUCCAGUUAUAGAGUCAGAGGCUCCAGUUAUAGAGUCAGAGGCUCCAGUUAUAGAGUCAGAGGCUCCAGUUAUAGAGUCAGAGCCUAGAGAAGUAUCACCAGAACCUGUAGAGGAACCAAGAGAAGAAUCAGAAGAGGAGGUGGUUGAGGAACAACAGGAAGAAGAACAGGUACAAUCGCAUGUCACUGAAGUUACAUCUGAGACUGAGGAAAAAGAUUUUGUCAAGACUUCAGAGUCAUUUGAAGAUGAUAAUGAUGCUACCCCAAAAGAUGCAACGCCUGAAAAUGUGGAUACUUUGGCAGAAGUGAUGAAUGAGAUGAUUUUCGAUGAACCAGAAAACACUCCAGUUGAACAUGAAGAACCAGGGGAGAUAGUGGAGGAGAAAUUUGACCAAGAUUUAAUUGAGUACCAACAAGAACAACCUAUCUUUGUAGAUGGAGAUGCUGACAAAGCUGAUGAAGUAUCAGAUCAUGAAGAUGUAUCUGCUGCUGAACUUGAUGAUCUACUACAGAGAGAUUUCACAGCUGAAGCAGGUCUUCCGGAAACGGAAACAUCUGAAUACACAGAAGAUUCUAUUACGACAAAAUCUACCACAGUGAAAAGCAGUUCAUGGGGGAACCCCCCAAAAGGACUUGAUCCCUUUGAUCCAUUUGAGGAACAUUUCACAGAGGAACAUGUUGAUAUCUGCGAUGAGCCAGACAGACGAACCACGACCAAGGUUAUUAAGAAGACAGUGGUGAAGACAUCGAUGGGAGAAGUUCCCGAUGACUUUGAAAUUGGUGACGGAGAUGAAGUUGAAGAACGUGUAAAUGAGGAUGGGUCUGUGACGCGGGUCAUCCGGAGGGUCAGGCAAAUAAGUGGUAGUUCUGGUGAUCCAGAAUUUAGUCAAUUGAUGUCAACUAACGAUGGUGCUGAUGGUUUGAUAGGUGAAACUGAUAGUAAAAGAGUUGUAGUACAUAAGAAAGUAACGAAGAAAAUAGUCAUUAGAGAUGGUGAAGAAGUAGAAGUUGAAGAAUCCACAGAUACCAAGAUUGAGGAAGAUGGACAAGAGGUUCAAGACCCAAGUGAACUCAGAGAAGACUUACAACAAAUGAUAGAUAGCUUUUUAACAGAAGAACAAAUGCAGGAACAAGAAAAAGAAUAAAAUAAAAUUCAGAUCCAGAUAAUAAACAUAUUCAUGUUUCUGGAUAUUAAAAAAAAAAAAGUUUAUUUCUGGGUCACCUAAUUGAGAAAGAAAUCUAGUGUGUAUCACUGUCAUGUCUUAAACGAACAAGACCAUUUGACAUGACAAUUCUGAAAAAAAAUCAAAAAUUUCUGUUUAGUAAAUUUGGAUCGUAUAAUUCUUGAUAGUAAAGUUUUAAAAUGCAGUACCUUGUUUUUUGAAUAAUGUAUUCCUAUGACUGUCAAUUUCUGGUGUUUUUUCAGAAGUUUACCACUGGAAGAUUUUACCCCCUUUUCAAACUCAAUAUGAAAUGUUUUAAGUAGUGACAAAAAAUACAAGUAGAUUUGUUAGUCCUGGUAGUUUUACCGUUGUUUUCUUCAAUGUAGACAAGUCCUGAUAGUUUUACUUGACAUUGCAUUAUCUGCUGGUAAUCAGCAAAUGUGCAUCUGCUUGACAACAAUGGGGUUUUAAACAUGUUGCGUAGUUUCAUUUCAUGCUAGUAUAUGCUAAUGAGGUCUUUAUGUAGUAUAUGCUAAUGAGGUCUUUAUGCAGUAUAUGCUAAUGAGGUCUUUAUGCAGUAUAUGCUAAUGAGGGCUUUAUAUAUUCAAGAGGAUGUUGCAACAAUCAAGAAUUUUAAUUACUGCCCAAUUAGUAUACUCUAAAACUGGCAAAUUAGGUUAACACUGCCUUUUUAUGUUUUUAGUCACCUGCAUAAUUAGAGAAAAUGAAUCCCUUUCAUUCCUCAGCUUGAUUAACUCCCAUCCUAUCAAGAUCUGUAAAUUGUUCAAUGUCAGAUCCUUUAUUUUUUUCCAAUUGUUAGGUUGGGUCUUAUACUGCUGUCAUGUUUUUAUUUUUAUCUAUUAUGGAGGCUGACUGUUACAGCAAAUUUUAAUGGGCUUGCCAGUGUUUUUAACCCUGAGAUAAUGCAAAUAUGGAAGAUCAAAAUUUUUUAGAUCUGCCAGAAAUUUUCGUUUUUGUACGAGUAUUUGAAACGUCUUUAAUUUGAUAAGAAAGAUUUUAUUUCUCUCAACAAUUUUUGAUUAAUAAUGUUUCCAACUUCCAAAGUCAGCGAGAUGAAACUAUCAACCUCCUUUAAAUGAAAUGUCUAUCAGAUAUCAAACUGAGGUGACUAUUUCUUUAAAGGUCAAUUGAUCCCUCUUUUAAAUGUUAAGCUUGAUAAAGUAAAUUAAACCAUGUAUUAACAGCCUAAAUAUUCUUGUGAUUAAGUCUGGCAACUGGGUGUAAAAUUUUCAUAUCUCUUCCUGCAAAAUGAAAUCAUUGUUUAAGCUGUCUAAUAAUACCUUUCUUGUACCAUUUUGUCACGAUAACUAAUAUUCAUAAGUUGGGUGAUUGAAUUAAAAAAGUCAAUUUGAUUCUAAAUAUUCUUUAUUAUAAAGUAGCACGAAAUUUCUGAACAGCAGUUGUAGAAAAUGUAUGUCUGAUGUAAUUUUGAUUGACAAGUAAUUGUAGUGUUGAUAGCAAAACUAGUUUUAAACAAUUGCACUUGUGUACCAAGAUUUUACUCAGAAUCAUAGCACUUGAUGUAAUUAUAGAUAUAUCGAUAAUCUUUUUGAAACACUGAUAACUGGGUCUGUUUGUGUAAUAAUAAAUACUUUUGUUUUGUUCUUUAUUUUGGAAUAUUGAGAAUAUUGAAAAUUUGUUCAUUGGCCUAACAUGUGGGAAGAAAUUCCAUAAGUAUGUAUAUCAGCUACCUGUUAUUAGUAUUAGGGCGGUGUAUAUUAUUCCAAACUGUAGAUGAACAACAUGAUAAUUGCCAAGAUGACAGGACAAUAUCGUAAUCCAUCCCACCACACUUUAAUGUGUUGUGCUAAGCCAAGUUUUAUUAUCUAUCAACAGUCCUGACAUCUCGGCGGUUGUUUGUUUGGCUUUGACAUCUGUUGAUGUAGCUGUGAUGCUGUUCUAGGUCAAUGUUAGUUCUCUAGUGAUAUUCCUUAUGUAUCUGUAGGUUUUUAUGUUUUUUGAUGUAAUUUCAUGAUAAAGUUACAGCUUGGAAAAGGUUCAUUAAAAGCUUUGUGCUCCAUAUAUCACAAUUAAA